rnacentral:sRNA from 1 species
AUGGGUGCAGAAGUAGCCAUGCUCCCUUUCUAGACUCUCCAAACAAGCCCUCAAGGCCCAUUUGCAGGAGAAUAUAUGACAGAUCAGC